CUGCUCAAUCGCCGGGGCGGGCAGGGGCUGGGAGCUGAGGCUCCGGUUUCGGGUUUCGGAGGUCAGAUCCCAGGGAGAGGACUGGGGUUGGUUGCGUGAACACAGUCUGAAGGGGGCUAGUGUGCACAGCUAGCCAGGAGGGAGUCCGGGAAAAGGUCUGGACCUGCCUAAGAGGCAAGAGACCGUUGUUUAAGGGUGCGCGAGGAGAGGGGAUUCAGAGCACUGCCUAAAUGAGCUCCAGAGAUGGGUGUGAGCCGUGGCUGUCAGCACGGACCCCAGAGACGGGCAUGAAACGCUAAGGCUGCUACUGCAGCCACCAAGAAGCCUGUGUGCAAGCACAGGUCAAUCUCCACACCUCCCCUCCUGGGAGCCUGUGCAGCCCGCCACUGCCAGGGUUCCAUGAUCCAGGGACAGCUUCCCCGGGAGAACACACAGCACAGGUCAGGCUGUUGCAACGUCAUGCUGGACUCUGCCGCCGCAGGCUCGGCCCACAUUCCAUACGCCUCUCUGCCCCACCGGCCUGAGUGAGCCAGAGCCCCCUAAUCAGCUGCUAUUUUAACCCCGUCCUUUCUGAGCAAAGAACAGACGCCCUCAGGAGACCUACAUGCAGAGGAGGGGCCAAAUCCAAAGCUGAACCCCAGGAGCUGUGCGAACAAAGAAGAAAAAGGGAAAUUUCUCUGUGCAACCUCAGGAGCAGUGGAUUUAAUCUCCACAAUCAACUUGAUGUACCCUGCAUCUGUGGAGUACCUGAAUAGACAACGAAUCAUCCCAAAAUUGAGGUGGUGGAUUUUGGGAUCAGCUGUAGGCUUGGGGAUUUCUGGUAGGUCCUAUUUUAGGACGAGAUGCAAUAUUGUUGAAACGCCAAUCUGCUUUGGUUCAGGCAGUUGGCUUUUCAGCUGAGAAGCCAUUCUUCUUCCUCUUUUUAAAAUUUUUUUGCUGACUUACUGAACUUAUGAAACCAUGGCGGAAGGAGAGACACAGUCACCUGGGCCCAAAAAGUGUGGUCCCUAUAUCUCAUCUGUCACUAGCCGAACUGUGAACUUGAUGAUUCGAGGAGUAGUGCUGUUUUUUAUUGGAGUAUUUCUUGCAUUAGUGUUAAAUUUACUUCAGAUUCAGAGAAAUGUGACGCUCUUUCCACCUGAUGUGAUUGCAAGCAUCUUUUCUUCAGCAUGGUGGGUACCGCCAUGCUGUGGCACAGCUUCAGCUGUGAUUGGGUUAUUAUACCCCUGCAUUGACAGGCAUCUAGGAGAACCACAUAAAUUUAAGAGAGAGUGGUCCAGUGUAAUGCGGUGUGUAGCCGUCUUUGUUGGUAUAAAUCAUGCCAGUGCUAAAGUGGAUUUUGAUAACAACAUACAGUUGUCUCUCACACUGGCUGCACUAUCCAUUGGACUGUGGUGGACUUUUGAUAGAUCUAGAAGUGGUUUUGGCCUUGGAAUAGGAAUUGCUUUCUUGGCAACUUUGGUCACUCAACUGCUAGUCUAUAAUGGUGUUUAUCAAUACACAUCUCCAGAUUUUCUCUAUGUUCGCUCUUGGUUACCAUGCAUAUUUUUUGCUGGAGGCAUAACAAUGGGAAACAUCGGUCGACAACUGGCAAUGUAUGAAUGUAAAGUUAUCGCAGAAAAAUCUCAUCAAGAAUGAAGAAGGCAAAAACAUAUCUUUUGUACAGAAAAACAAGACGAAAAGGGCAAGUAAAUGAUAGCUAUACCAACAAUACUUCGGACUAUAAAAUUGCCAGGAUGCAGUUUUUCCCUUAAUUGGUGUGUGUAUACAUAUACACACAUAUACACACAUACAUAUGUUACUGCAAUCUGUGAUUGCUUCAUCUGUAAAUCAAGUACAAACCUUUAUGUAUUUGACUUAAAUAACUGUAAAAUAUAUAUGCACUACAUUAAAAAACAUGUUGAUUAAUAGAUGAAAUUUUUAAUUUUUUAGACAUACCAUAUAUUGUAUCACAAUGUUGAUGUGCCAAAAUAUUCAGUUAUCGUCAUGCAGAGUAUAAGAAUGCUUUGAACAAUUUAUAGACUUACUGAAAUAAAAUAUGAGGAAAGCCAAAAAAAAAAAAAAAGCAAAUGGAAAGUGGUAUAUUCUCUUUUGCUUACUGUUGUGCCUUUUUAUUUUUCUAAUAUAUAGCAGUACGAGUUAUGGGUGCCCUAAUGUGUGGUUAGUUUCUAUUUUAAUGUUGUCUCAGAGAGCUUUGGGUGUUUUAAUAUAUGAUGAAAAAGAACUUCCAGGGAACAUUUUCAUACCUGCAUUACUGGAGAGAGUCCAAAGAGUAAUUUUUGUUUCAACAGAUUUUGCUGGAGGUGAAAGUGAUCAGCAGGAGAGUUUAUCAGCAUCAAAUUGUUUUGAGUCUAAAUCUGGAAGAAUACAUAUAAUUAAAAUCAUCACAUGGCACUCCUAGAUCUUCUGGGAAUGUCUGCUCAACCAAGUUAUGACGGUGACAGUUCUGUUUUGAAACAGUUCCUUCUGCCUUCACAAAAGCUUGAAAUUUUGCAGCAGGACAUUACAGGAGGACAGACUGCUGCCCCAUCAUCUUAGGAUCAGCUGGAGGAAGGCUGCUGUGCUUGGUCUCCACACACUGGACUUGGGAAGCCUGCACACUGACAAACUGAAGAUGAAGUUUAAAGAUGUUUGUAAAGACAAAUCUUUGCGGAAUUUUCUAUGCCUCAGACCUAGUGUGGGUUGAUACCAUGCCUGUCCAAGAGAGAAGGCGGGUCAGGAUAUGUUGAAGCAAGUCUUCUAGAAUAUAUGUAAAAUUCAUAAUAAAGUUGAGUCAGAUUCAACUUUAUUUUUUCCCCACAAAAAGUAAAUUAGUGAUUCUUAAAUCUUUGUUAGGAUUAGUUCUGGUCCUGUGACCCCAACUACCUGCAAGGGGGCUGGGAUGUGCAAUCCCUCUCCUGACAGGAGAACCAAAUAUAGGUGAUCAUUGGUAAUGUCCACCUCAGUUGGUUUAAAGCGUUUUGUAGCACUCUCUUCCCAGUAGAGUAUUUUUCUUCGCAAGUGAUUCAUAGUGAACAGAGUUGUAAGGAAAUGAAAAUUCUUUUGGUGGUAAAAUUAUAGCCUUUAAAAUACAUAAAAUACAAACUUUGUAUCCAAGUCCUGGAAGGGUGGGGAAGAAGGAAGGAGUCCACUUUUGUCUUUUCCUAUCAUCUGAAAGGGAGGGGGUGAGGGGGAGGGAGUGAAUCAAGUGUUUCCUUAGUGCUUCCUACAAAUGUCCCUACCACACAAAUAAGGAUCGUUUUACAGCUGCCAACAUCCACGUUUUUCUGAAUGGCGGAGCAGCAUUUCAAACUCCUGUCUAACUUUGCUCCAACAGUCAAGGAUUCUCACCACCACAUGGUACUGUCCCUGAAAGUCCCUGCAAACUAUUUUGCAUGUACAUUUUCAGCAGAUUUCCAAGACCAUCACUAAGUGACUUGGCACUGAGGCAUCUCUGACACGAAUGCGACCUUGACUUCAUAGACGUGUGUUUCACGUGUUGCUUCACUCUGGGAUCCGGCUUCUCUAGGAAGUUAACAUAAGCAUACUUAGAGAGUCUGACGACUUUAGCCCUCAGGGAAUGCCUGCACUUGAACCUGAAGGCUCUCUUGAUAGCAGACAUCCUACCUCAGCCUCCACAGACACAGUCCCAUGUGGAAAUCUGACAGCAUAGA